GCUCACGUGGAGAAACUGGUAGACUUGCCAUCUUGAGGGGGUGGUGUUCGAAAGGACGUGCGGGUUCGAAUCCCGCCGUGAGCA
rnacentral:tRNA from 1 species